CUAAGAAUCUUCCGCAAUGGGCGAAAGCCUGACGGAGCGACGCCGCGUGAACGAAGAAUGUCGUGAGAUUGUAAAGUUCUUUUCCUGGGGAGGAAUAAUACUCGGAGGGAAUGCCGAGUAGAUGACGUGAACCAGGGAAUAAGCCCCGGCUAAUUCCGUGCCAGCAGCCGCGGUAACACGGAAGGGGCAAGCGUUGUUCGGAUUUAUUGGGCGUAAAGGGCGUGUAGGCGGCGAUAGAAGUCUGGUGUGAAAUACUUCGGCUCAACCGAAGAAACGCGCUGGAAACUGUAUUGCUUGAGUUUAGGAGGGGGAGCUGGAAUUCCUGGUGUAGGGGUGAAAUCUGUAGAGAUCAGGAAGAACACCGGAGGCGAAGGCGAGCUCCUGGCUAUAAACUGACGCUGAGGCGCGAAAGCGUGGGGAGCGAACAGG
rnacentral:rRNA from 1 species